rnacentral:rRNA from 1 species
UUGACCUCGAGAUCAGGUAGGGAUACCCGCUGAACUUA